rfam:Oryza barthii chromosome 7, whole genome shotgun sequence.
AAAAAGCGAACCCUAGUUUCCAUGUCCAACUUUGAUUGUCCGUUUUAUAUAAAAUUUUUUUGUAAUUCGUAUUUUCAUUGUUGUUAGAUGAUAAAACAUGAUUAAUAUUUUAUACGUGACUUGUCUUUUUAAUUUUUUUCACAAUUUUUUUAAAUAAGACGGACGGUCAAACGUUGGGCACGGAAACCAGGGUUUGUCUUUUU